UNGGAGAGCAAGAAUGCCCUAACUGAGAUGC
rnacentral:piRNA from 1 species